rfam:Gossypium arboreum cultivar AKA8401 contig_22295_1, whole genome shotgun sequence.
AACCCAUAGUGAGGACACUUUCUCAAUAAAUCCUUAUACCUCUCCUAUGCAUCAUAUAGAGUCUCUAAAUUAAUAUAGACGAAGGAAGAGAUAUCAUUCCUUAACUU